AUGGAGGAGGUGCCGGGAGCGUCACGUGGAUGGGAGCCCGGUGGGAGAGCUACCCCUUCGGACUGUAGUGACUCACUUUGUUUUGGUCAGUUCCCUACUGAACCCCCAAAGUCCGUGCACAAGGAGGGGAACACCUCCAGACCAGGACAAGGCGCGACCGCUAAAGGAACCCCCAAAUUUACCCCUGGAAUUCCUUUCCCGUGUGAAGUCUUAGCACCACGUCCGGGCGCACGAGCUCAGGCCCCACUGCUGGGUUCACACUGUCGUUGGUUUCGAGGAAGACCCGCCUUUCUCCACAGAGGAGGCCGAGGCCGGGGAGCCCUGGGACGGCAGACAGGAGGGCUGGGGGGCGGGAGAGGGUGUCUGCCACACUGGAAGGCCUGGACCCCCCUCCCAGAGGCCGAGCUGGUCUAUCUUCCAGGAGGAGGAAGUGUCCCCGCGCCGCCCCGGGCUCUUUUCGGAAACAGAGCGGAGGAACUGGCCGCACGUGCCUGUGACCACGCUGUCCGCGCAGCACCAGAGGGGGCAACACCAGCCAUCCAGGUCAAGGCAGCGCUCCAGCGGAAACGCGUGACCCUGACCGGCAGGGCCCUUCCUCUGUCUUCCCCAGCCCAAACGGAAAGAGGAAUGUCAGAGCCAGAGCAAUUUCACAAGGUACAGAGUCUAUGGGCAGGUCCUCCUGUGAUGAUGGAAAAGUUCUGCACAUGUGUCUCCAGUACACACCUGCUGAAUGCAGCCAGUGAGACUAAGGAACUAAACUUUAUAUUUGAUUUAAUGCUGCUUACCCAUCCUGCUCUAUCUUACAGGAAUGCCUUAUUUCUCAAGACUCUCCUACAUUUGAACGAAUGAAUGAAAGAAUGAACAAAUGUUACUAUUAAACCCUGAACACAACUGACACAGAGCAAUGAAAAUAUUUAUGCUGACAAUAGAAAGCACUUAAUUUCACUAUUUCAGGUCAUUAAAAAUACCCUUGUACAAUAUUCUAAAGGAGUUUUCGUUAUUUGAGCAUACUUGUGUUUGUGUGUGUGUGUGAUUUUGGAUGAGAGAAUGAGUGUUUAUUUUGGAUUGGAUAAAAAGUUAUAGGUUUUUCUCCAGGCCACGUUCCAGCCUUCACUGAUCCUACUUUGGAGCUAGAAAGCUAAAUUCCCAUCUGUUAUUAUGAAACUGACUUAAUUACAGAGUCAUGCAAGUAGAAAAAAUCCACAUGUUCUACUAGGGAAUAAGGCUUUUUAUAAGCAAGCUGUUAUGCAAGCAGAAAGGGAAAGUCAAGGCAAAGGGAAUUUACUUUGCACACAUGCUGCACAAGCUGCCCUUUCAGAGCGGGGCCUUGGUGAAGCCUGAGCAUCUUGGGUGCAUGGCGUAUGCAGCUCCAGCAAGGGCUUUCUGAAGAGACCCUCACCCUGGCCCACUUUGCUCCAAGCUCAGCCUGGACCACGGGGGCAGUGAUCAGAGGCACCUCAGUUUGCCUUUAACUAGUUUCCAUCCAUAAAUGUUUUCUGAACAUUUAUUAUACUCAGUAUAACUGGAUGUGAAUUAUUAAAUGUGUUUGAACUCAGAUAAACAAGCUUUGUGCGUUAGAUGAAAGAAUGUGCAUCUCCGAAUAUUUUAUCGAAGCUGUCUGCAAUCCUUUGCAAGUAAAUAUUUUUAUCUGAGUAUUUUUUUAACUUCCACUUUUUUCUCUCUGCCCCAUUCCCCUAUGUUAAUCAACAAUCUCCUUUCAUACUGAACACGGAUUUGUUACCUUAAAUCUAGG
ensembl:lncRNA